rnacentral:rRNA from 1 species
CGAACCCACGUAGGUUAAAAACUGCGGGGAUGAGCUGUGGGUAGGGGUGAAAGGCCAAUCAAACUUCGUGAUAGCUGGUUCUCCCCGAAAUGCAUUUAGGUGCAGCGUUGCGUGGUUCUUGCUGGAGGUAGAGCUACUGGAUGGCUAAUGGGCCCUACAAGGUUACUGACGUCAGCCAAACUCCGAAUGCCGGUAAGUGAGAGCGCAGCAGUGA